AGAGUUUGAUCCUGGCUCAGGAUGAACGCUGGCGGCGUGCUUAACACAUGCAAGUCGAACGAUUGAAGCUGGAGCUUGCUCCGGCCGAUUUAGUGGCGGACGGGUGAGUAACGCGUGGGUAACCUGCCUCAUACAGGGGGAUAGCAGUUGGAAACGACUGGUAAAACCGCAUAAGCGCACGGUGUCGCAUGACACAGUGUGAAAACACUCCGGUGGUGUGAGAUGGACCCGCGUCUGAUUAGCUAGUUGGUGAGGUAACGGCCCACCAAGGCGACGAUCAGUAGCCGGCCUGAGAGGGUGAACGGCCACAUUGGGACUGAGACACGGCCCAAACUCCUACGGGAGGCAGCAGUGGGGAAUAUUGCACAAUGGGGGAAACCCUGAUGCAGCGACGCCGCGUGAGUGAUGAAGUAUUUCGGUAUGUAAAGCUCUAUCAGCAGGGAAGAUAAUGACGGUACCUGACUAAGAAGCACCGGCUAAAUACGUGCCAGCAGCCGCGGUAAUACGUAUGGUGCAAGCGUUAUCCGGAUUUACUGGGUGUAAAGGGUGCGUAGGUGGCAAGGCAAGUCUGAAGUGAAAAUCCGGGGCUCAACCCCGGAACUGCUUUGGAAACUGUUUAGCUGGAGUACAGGAGAGGUAAGUGGAAUUCCUAGUGUAGCGGUGAAAUGCGUAGAUAUUAGGAGGAACACCAGUGGCGAAGGCGACUUACUGGACUGCUACUGACACUGAGGCACGAAAGCGCGGGGAGCAAACAGGAUUAGAUACCCUGGUAGUCCACGCCGUAAACGAUGGAUGCUAGGUGUGGGAGGUAUCGACCCCUUCCGUGCCGCAGUUAACGCAAUAAGCAUCCCGCCUGGGGAGUACGGCCGCAAGGUUGAAACUCAAAGGAAUUGACGGGGGCCCGCACAAGCAGCGGAGCAUGUGGUUUAAUUCGACGCAACGCGAAGAACCUUACCAGGACUUGACAUCUGAUUAAGCUUGUGGAAACACAAGGUCCCUUCGGGGGAAUCAAGACAGGUGGUGCAUGGUUGUCGUCAGCUCGUGUCGUGAGAUGUUGGGUUAAGUCCCGCAACGAGCGCAACCCUUAUUUCCAGUUACUAACAGGCAAAGCUGAGGACUCUGGAGAGACCGCCGGGGACAACUCGGAGGAAGGUGGGGACGACGUCAAAUCAUCAUGCCCCUUAUGUUCUGGGCUACACACGUGCUACAAUGGUGACUACAAAGAGAAGCGAAAUCGUAAGGUAGAGCGGAUCUCAAAAAAGUCAUCUCAGUUCGGAUUGUGGGCUGCAACCCGCCCACAUGAAGUCGGAGUUGCUAGUAAUCGCGGAUCAGCAUGCCGCGGUGAAUACGUUCCCGGGCCUUGUACACACCGUCCGUCACACCAUGGGAGUUUGGAGCACCCGAAGUCAGUGAGGUAACCGCAAGGAGCCAGCUGCCGAAGGUGAGCCAGAUGACUGGGGUGAAGUCGUAACAAGGUA
rnacentral:rRNA from 1 species